rnacentral:rRNA from 1 species
CGAACGCUGGCGGCGUGCCUAANACAUGCAAGUCGAACGGGACUUAGUGGAAAGCGGCUUCGGCCAAUGGAAGCUAAGUUUAGUGGCGAACGGGUGAGUAACGCGUGAGAAACCUGCCUUUCAGUGGGGGACAACAGUUGGAAACGACUGCUAAUACCGCAUAAUGUAUCCGGGGGGCAUCCUCUGGAUACCAAAGCUUUAUCGCUAAUGGAUGGACUCGCGUCUGAUUAGAUAGUUGGUGAGGUAACGGCUCACCAAGUCGACGAUCAGUAGCCGAACUGAGAGGUUGAUCGGCCACAUUGGGACUGAGAUACGGCCCAGACUCCUACGGGAGGCAGCAGUGGGGAAUAUUGGGCAAUGGGGGAAACCCUGACCCAGCAACGCCGCGUGAAGGAAGAAGGCCUUCGGGUUGUAAACUUCUUUUACCAGGGACGAAGAACGUGACGGUACCUGGAGAAAAAGCAACGGCUAACUACGUG